AUAUCCGAUAGAUGGAAGCGCCUGGAAUGGUCUUCCGUCGAAAAGUUCUUGGGAACAUGCUUCCGAGAGCGCCUAAGGAUGAGACUGCGGCCGAUCAGGCUGUUGGUGGGGUAACGGCCCACCAAACCUAUAACCGGUACGGGCCCUGAAAGGGGGAGCCCGGAGAUGGGAACUGAGACAAGGUCCCAGGCCCUACGGGGCGCAGCAGGCGCGAAACCUCCGCAAUGCGCGAAAGCGUGACGGGGUUACCCCGAGUGCCGUCCGUUGAGGAUGGCUUUUCCUUAGUGUAAGGAGCUGGGGGAAUAAAGGGGGGGCAAGUCUGGUGUCAGCCGCCGCGGUAAUACCAGCCCCCUGAGUGAUAGGGACGAUUAUUUAGCCUAAAGCAUCCGUAGCCGGUUUAGCAAGUCUUUCGUUAAAUCUGACGACUUAAUCGCCAGGCCGCGGAAGAUACUGCUAGACUAGAGGGCGGGAGAGGUUGACGGUAGUCCCGGAGUAGGGGUGAAAUCCUAUAAUCCCGGGAGGACCACCAGUGGCGAAGGCGGUCAACUAGAACGCGCCUGACGGUGAUGGACGAAAGCUGGGGGAGCGAACCGGAUUAGACACCCGGGUAGUCCCAG
rnacentral:rRNA from 1 species